rnacentral:lncRNA from 1 species
UGUGAAAACCACAUAUCACAUUGCAUAUUCAUCUGGGUAUUUUUUAUUUUUUUUUUUAAAAAAAUUCAAGUUAAUCUAAUUAAUAAAAUAUAUAAACCCUUUUAAACAAAAUCAGAUUUCUAACACAAUCUUUAAAAUAAAUAUUUAUUAGAUAACCCACUAGAAAUCAUGAAGAUGCUUUGAAGAAAUCAAAAUAAAAUAAAAAAACCUCAUCGACGAAGAAAAAAAGCAAAACCUCAUCGACGAAGAAAUCAUGAAGGGAGAUAACCAACAACUACUUGUAGAAGAAUUGAAUUGGAAGAUGCUUUGAAGAUGCCUAUUUUCGUGAACAAUCACUUGAAAUAAAAAAUUUGGUAAAGUUAAACAGUAAUAAGGAAUUUUUAUAGUUCAAGGAAUAAGUAAAGAACAAAACAUAUCGAAAAAAUAAAUGGGCUUUAUUGUAAAAACUAUCAAAAUUGGGCUUGGAUAUUGUAGAUAAAUAAAAAAGGUAACCAUGUAACUUAUGAUAAAAUACCAUUACACAACUCAUGUUUGAUUUACACCCCUCAGCCACAUGGGAAAAUUAAAUUUAUCGUAAUUGAAUAUUUUUUAAGGCCACUUUUCCACUAAAAUUUCACAAACAAUAAUUUUAGUUGGAAAAGUAAUAAAUGCAUGUAUGGAAAUGAAUGUAAGUUUUGUCCUUUCCAGUUUGUAUCCGCCAGCAUACACGAUACUUAUACUAUAAGAUUCAA